AUGGAAGAGAAUCCUAAAGCUUCAAUCUCCAGAUGGGAGUUCUCUAAGUUCCCCUGCUGUCACAGCUGUUGCUUACAUGAAAACUGGUGACAGUAAAUCCCUAGAGUAAUUAACUAACAUAGUACAAAGAUUUCGAGAUCAUGCACCAUCGCAGUAUCCAAUUGACCUUGUAGAGCGCAUAUGGGCAAUUGACACCAUUGAGAGAUUGGGAAUUCAUCACUAUUUUCGCGAGGAAAUUUCCGAUGCCCUUGACUAUGUGUAUAGAAAUAUCGGAAAAAAGGGUGUACCUUAUGGAACUGGAAAUCCAAUUCCUGAUAUUGAUGAUACCUGCAUGGCCCUUCGGUUGGCGAGAUCACAUGGCUAUGAAAUAUCCCCAGAUAUCCUUCAGCACUUUAAACAGGAUAAUGGGCACUUCAUAUG